rnacentral:rRNA from 1 species
GACGAACGCUGGCGGCGUGCCUAAUACAUGCAAGUCGAGCGGACCAAAAGAGAGCUUGCUCUCUUGAGGUUAGCGGCGGACGGGUGAGUAACACGUGGGCAACCUGCCCGUAAGACUGGGAUAACUCCGGGAAACCGGGGCUAAUACCGGAUAACACAAGGAACCGCAUGGUUCCUUGUUGAAAGGCGGCUUUGGCUGUCACUUACGGAUGGGCCCGCGGCGCAUUAGCUAGUUGGUGAGGUAACGGCUCACCAAGGCGACGAUGCGUAGCCGACCUGAGAGGGUGAUCGGCCACACUGGGACUGAGACACGGCCCAGACUCCUACGGGAGGCAGCAGUAGGGAAUCUUCCGCAAUGGACGAAAGUCUGACGGAGCAACGCCGCGUGAGCGAAGAAGGUCUUCGGAUCGUAAAGCUCUGUUGUUAGGGAAGAACAAGUACCGUUCAAAUAGGGCGGUACCUUGACGGUACCUAACCAGAAAGCCACGGCUAACUACGUGCCAGCAGCCGCGGUAAUACGUA